UUAUAUUGCUGUCACAUGGUUUUAUGCUAAUCUUUUAGAUUAAAUGGUAAAUAUAGAAGUCUUUAUUCAAUUAACAAAGAAGUAGUCAUUAAGGGAUGGUGAUUGAAAUAAAAUGGUGAGAAAUAUUAUCCUCUUAAAUAAGAAAUUACUGCAUGAGUGGACAAAAGCAGUACAGCAAGGGAUGGAAUAAAACUGGAAAAGAGCAAAAGCAAAUGAGACAUGCCUCAGAUCUCUGUUUAGAAGGAACUUUUGAUAAGAAACUGGUCAGCCGUUCUGAGAGUGGUGGAAAGCCUGUCAAGGUCACUACCAAGGACAAGAGAGUCAAUUAGUAUGCAGAUCAGAGCCAAGGAGUUCAAAGGAACUGUCCUGAUGUGAAAGAGCAUGCUUUGACUCCUUGGGGCAUGUGGUGAUUUCUGCUAAGGGAAUACCUGCGUUUGAGCAACUGAUCUGAGAGCACAGACCCUCCAAGGGUAAUUUUGCACUUCUCGACCACUGCCACUUGCUGAAAGCUCUGGAAUAGGGGUUGUUGGUCACCUGGGAAGUUACAGCAUAGUGGGACUGCUGCACAACAGCAACACAGGCCCUAUCCACAGACGUAAAAAAAAGCACUGGGAAAGAGAUGUUUGAGACUGGAAAUGCCCCUGACUGUUGAAACAGAACUCUGAGAAGGUUGAUGGUGAUGGUGAUAAAAACACAGUCAAGGUCUUCGGCUCCAGGUCCCCUCCCUACCAUGACAGCUGGGAUUCUCUGAGGAAACAUGAUGGGUCAGGAGGAGGAGGGGAGGCGAGGACAGCCAUCUCCAAAAUGCGGUGGAUGUGCCUUGCCGGCUCUGCACUGGUUGCACUCAGGCAAGCUGACGGGAAUCGGCGGUGGCAGCCAUGCGAAUGAGGGCUGCUGUGAAGUUACAGUUGCAAUAUAAAGAUGACAAGAAGUUCAAGACAAGAUAAAGGACCCCAGUGAGAUUGGACACUGAGAGGUACACCAGACUUCCUCCUUUUGCUUGGCACUUCUCUUUUUAUUCUUUGAUUAAAGUCUUUUUCCUUUACUUACAUCCUCCA